rnacentral:rRNA from 1 species
UACGUAGGGUGCAAGCGUUAAUCGGAAUUACUGGGCGUAAAGCGUGCGCAGGCGGUUUUGUAAGACCGAUGUGAAAUCCCCGGGCUUAACCUGGGAACUGCAUUGGUGACUGCAAGGCUUGAGUGUGUCAGAGGGAGGUGGAAUUCCCGGUGUAGCGGUGAAAUGCGCAGAUAUCGGGAGGAACACCGGUGGCGAAGGCGGUCUC